AUGACCGACUCAUAUCUCCUCUCCUCAAUCUCGUUGUGUUCCCGUCAAAUCUCUCCAUCGCCCAAAUGUCGUCAGCCUCUUAUCCACGCCACGGGAAUCAUGCACCGCCGCCGGGAAGCCCACCGUAUCCGGCCUCCCCUGAUGCACCCCCUCCUCCACGGCUCAGUCGGUCCGUAUCCCACGUUGCGGGAGCCAGGAGCGACAGUGCUAAGCGAGCGGGGCCGGGCGAGGCCGGCAGGGGCGCUAGAUCUGAAGAACGCCACGGGAGGCGCGUCGGGCAGGGAGAACCAUGGCCCGUGGAGUCGAGCGGCGGUCAGUGAAGGCCAGCAAGCAGUGGAGUCCAGCGACGACCUUGCGGAGGAGCAGAUUGGAGGUCUGAGUGCAUCGCAUGAACAUGCAUCACGUCUUCAUGAAAGACCAAUUGUGAGCUGGCUAUGGUCUGCUGGAUCGAAAGUUCAAGGGCCUAAACUGGACGAUGGAAGCGGUGGGUUCCAUUUCGGCAAAGUAGGCGGCGGUGAUGGAGGGGUGGUGGCGGCAGCAACUGUUCCUUCUCUAGACCAUCGUGGUGCUCCUGGAUUACCUCAAGGAGUUUGA
rnacentral:rRNA from 1 species